rnacentral:rRNA from 1 species
AGUGGCGGACGGGUGAGUAACGCGUGGGUAACCUGCCUCAUACAGGGGGAUAACAGUUAGAAAUGACUGCUAAUACCGCAUAAGACCACGGAGCCGCAUGGCUCAGUGGGAAAAACUCCGGUGGUAUGAGAUGGACCCGCGUCUGAUUAGGUAGUCGGUGGGGUAACGGCCUACCAAGCCGACGAUCAGUAGCCGACCUGAGAGGGUGACCGGCCACAUUGGGACUGAGACACGGCCCAA